UGGGGAAUUUUGGACAAUGGGGGCAACCCUGAUCCAGCCAUUCCGCGUGAGUGAAGAAGGCCUUCGGGUUGUAAAGCUCUUUCGGACGGAACGAAACGGUUAGCGUGAAUAGCGCUGACUAAUGACGGUACCGUAAGAAGAAGCACCGGCUAACUACGUGCCAACAGCCGCGGUAAUACGUAGGGUGCGAGCGUUAAUCGGAAUUACUGGGCGUAAAGCGUGUGCAGGCGGCGGCUCAAGUCAGGUGUGAAAUCCCCGGGCUUAACCUGGGAAUUGCGCUUGAAACUAGGUCGCUAGAGUGUGGCAGAGGGGGGUGGAAUUCCACGUGUAGCAGUGAAAUGCGUAGAGAUGUGGAGGAACACCGAUGGCGAAGGCAGCCCCCUGGGUCAACACCGACGCUCAGGCACGAAAGCGUGGGGAGCAAACAGGAUUAGAUACCCAAGUAGUCCCUGAGCGGGCUGGCAAGGCGCAU
rnacentral:rRNA from 1 species